GAGGGGCGGAAAUGGGGGAGGUGCCGCAGUACUGUUCCUGUUUGUCUUUGGUCUGUGGAAGAGCGGGCAAGCUGCCCAGGAUGACUGCGGGUUGUAAGAGACUGUUCUUUUAUAUCAUUUGACUCAAAGUUUGCCGAGGAGCAAGUCCAGGCAAGUCCUGGGCAAAGGUAGAGAAAUCUUCCGUCUGGAGGACACUGAUGGACGGGUCCUGGCUAAGCGUUGUGAAAUCCUCCAAGGAGCACAGAUGGACACGGCCAGGGGCAGCGAGAGAGAGAUGAGCUGCUGAUAACGGCCGGGAAACGGUCUUUGUGUGUGGGCUUACCUCGAGGAAGAUGGCCAUCUCAGGAGGUACGCACAGGGCUCUUGCUCAAGCACCCAGGGGUGUCAGUAGGCAGCAGAAAAUGGAGGAUAAAAGAGGGGCCAACAACCCCGACAGAUUGGGCGGGGUUUUCUGCCAUCUGAUCCUUCACCACGACGGACUGAGAGGGGUUUUCUGCCAUCAGAUCCCUCACCACGACAGACUGAGAGGGGUUUUCUGCCAUCAGAUCCCUCACCACGACAGACCAGUGAAGGGUUUCUGCCAUCAGAUCCCUCACCACGACGGACUCGAGGCUUUCUGCCUUCAGAUCCUUCUCUCCGGACCGUAUGCUGACGGACUUCCCUGGCCCUGCUACCUGAGACCUGCUGCUUCCUCCCUGACUUACUCUGCGGCUUCUUCCUGCACCCACCCGGUACUGCCCCCUCUGGUUGCCCAAGACCCCCCUCGCUGCUCCUGCCCUUCGGCCUCGGACCGUCAGAACGUCAUGCAAUGGAACUGCUGCCGGAUCCUGGUGGUGCCUAUCCCCGCUUUACUCAAUUCUUGCUUCUUUCUAUCUUUUCCAUCGCUCGCCUUCCCUUCCCCAUCGCCCCGAUCCGGAACAGUGUCCGUCCUCCCCUUUCUCCAUCUCCCUUAUUAACGUUUGUAAUAAACCGGUCGGACCAACAUUUGAACCGUUGUUUCUUAAUCUCACGCCGGGCAUACAUAUCUCAAAGAACCUCCUCUCCCUCCUACAAACUGGAGCAAGACAGGCACCUGAGCUGGGCCUCCUUUGGAGCGGCAGUAGCCCUAAUACCCUCGUGGCCAUACUCAGGUGUUUCCACAGCCACCAACCUCGUACCAACCCUCGUGUUCUUCGUACACGAGGCUGACUCCUCCUCCUCCUCCUUCACCAAGACACCAGGCUGGGAUCUCACCAGCGCAUCCCCCUCCUGCAAGCACC
rnacentral:lncRNA from 1 species